rnacentral:rRNA from 1 species
GACGAACGCUGGCGGCGUGCUUAACACAUGCAAGUCGAACGGAAAGGCCCUGCUUUUGUGGGGUGCUCGAGUGGCGAACGGGUGAGUAACAUACAAGUAACCUGCCAUUGACUUUGGGAUAACUUCAGGUUACUGUGGCUAAUACCGGAUAGGAGCUCCUGCUGCAUGGUGGGGGUUGGACAGUUGCGGAGGUUGGGGAUGGACUCGCCGCUUAUCAGGUUGUUGGUGGGGUAGUUGCUUACCACGGCUUUGGCGGGUAGCUGGCCUGAGAGGGUGACCGGGCACAUUAGGACUGAGAUACGGCCCAGAGUCAUACGGGAGACAGCAGUGGGGAAUAAUGCACGAUGGGGGGAAGCCUGAUGCAGGAACGACGUGUUCGGGAUGGCGGCCUUCGGGUUGUAAACCGCUUUCGCCUGUGACGAUGCGUGGGUGACGGUAAUGGAUAAAGAAGCACCGGCUAACUACGUG